UACAGAGGUGGCAAGCGUUGUUCGGAAUUACUGGGCGUAAAGGGCGAGUAGGCGGCCUUCUAAGUCAGACGUGAAAUCCCCCGGCUUAACCUGGGAACUGCGUCUGAUACUGGGAGGCUCGAGUAUGGGAGAGGGAUGUAGAAUUCCAGGUGUAGCGGUGAAAUGCGUAGAUAUCUGGAGGAAUACCGGUGGCGAAGGCGGCAUCCUGGACCAUUACUGACGCUGAAUCGCGAAAGCUAGGGGAGCGAACAGG
rnacentral:rRNA from 1 species